CCUACGGGAGGCAGCAGUGGGGAAUCUUGCGCAAUGGGCGAAAGCCUGACGCAGCAACGCCGCGUGCGGGAAGAAGGCCUUAGGGUUGUAAACCGCUUUCAGUAGGAACGAAAAUGACGGUACCUGCAGAAGAAGGUGCGGCCAACUACGUGCCAGCAGCCGCGGUGACACGUAGGCACCAAGCGUUGUCCGGAUUUAUUGGGCGUAAAGAGCUCGUAGGCGGUUCAGUAAGUCGGGUGUGAAAACUCUGGGCUUAACCCAGAGCCGCCACUCGAUACUGCUGUGACUUGAGUUCGGUAGGGGAGCAGGGAAUUCCUAGUGUAGCGGUGAAAUGCGCAGAUAUUAGGAGGAACACCGGUGGCGAAGGCGCUGCUCUGGGCCGAUACUGACGCUGAGGAGCGAAAGCGUGGGUAGCAAACAGGAUUAGAUACCCUGGUAGUCCACGCCGUAAACGUUGGGCACUAGGUGUGGGUUCCAACCAACGGAAUCCGCGCCGUCGCUAACGCAUUAAGUGCCCCGCCUGGGGAGUACGGCGGCAACGCUAAACUCAAAUGAAUUGACGG
rnacentral:rRNA from 1 species